UACGUAGGGGGCAAGCGUUGUCCGGAAUCAUUGGGCGUAAAGAGCGUGUAGGCGGCCCGGUAAGUCCGCUGUGAAAGUCCAGGGCUCAACCCUGGGAUGCCGGUGGAUACUGUCGGGCUCGAGUCCGGAAGAGGAGUGUGGAAUUCCUGGUGUAGCGGUGAAAUGCGUAGAUAUCGGGAGGAACACCGGUGGCGAAGGCGGCCCCCUGGUGGGAUACUGACGCUGAGACGCGAAAGCGUGGGGAGCAAACAGG
rnacentral:rRNA from 1 species